rnacentral:tRNA from 2 species
GGGCCCUUAACUCAGCCAGGUAGAGUGGCUCCCUUUUAAGGAGUUUGUCGGAGGUUCGAAUCCUCCAGGGCUCGCCA